AUCAAUCGCUCUUGAACCAGACGAAGACAUUAUAUAUACCAAUAACAAAGCAAACAAAAUUGAAACUAAAAUGGGAAACAAAUUUAUUGCAUUGUUGUUGUUGGUGUCUCUUGUAGUUGUGCAAGGAGGUCCCAAUGAAACCAGAGAAUUUGUGACACCAGAAGAGUGCUACAAUUAUUGCUACCAUGCUAUGUUAAUGCCCCAAGCCAUUGCCGAAACAUUAUGUAAAUGGCGCUGUCGUCAAUUUACGAUGCCGGCCGGCUUUGGUGUGAAGAACUGAGAGUUUCAUUUAGAGGGGUGUUUGUUUUGCGGCGAGUAGUGACAAUGGGUGGUUUCUGAUAUUUAUUUUGGUGGGUGUUGUCCUCGUGGGUGUUGAAGGUAGGGUACGGUUAGGUGUUGUGUGUAGGGAUGUCUUUUAUGGUGUUUAUUUUUGGGUGUUCCGUCUAUAUAUGGUGCCUUUAGUUUGUAUUUUUUAAAUUGUCGG
rnacentral:lncRNA from 1 species